GGAAAGCGGAGCAUCCGGGACGCGGCGGGACUCUAGUGUCUCGGAAAAGGAGCGUUUCCCCAGGCGGUGGUUGUCUUCACUAGCGGUAGGGUAAAAGGAGGGCGCAGUACCUGGUUCAACUUGAGCAGACGGAGUCUCGCUCUGUUACCCAGGCUGGAGUGCAGUGGGGCAAUCAUGGCUCACUGCAAGCUCCGCCUCCCGGGUUCACGCCAUUCUCCUGCCUCAGCCUCCUGAGUAGCUGGGACCAUAAGCGCCGCCACCACGCCUAGCUAAUUUUUUGUAUUUUUAGUAGAGACAGGGUUUCACCGUGUUAGCCAGGAUGGUCUCGAUCUCCUGACCUCGUGAUCCGCCUGCCUCGGCCUCCCAAAGUGCUGGGAUUACAGGCGUGAGCCACCGUGCCCGGCCAAACAUGAAUAUGUUAAUUUAGGCAAAUGGCAAAUGAAUGUCCGUGGGAAUGAUCUUCAAAGAGAAUUAAAAUGGGAUAGAGAAAUCAUCUAGCUGCACCUGUGUCUGAACCAGAGCGGCCAGGCACUCCCAUGUCAGCUAGUUACUGGAGCAGGUGGAGUAAGGAGUGCCCCUGGGCUUCUGCCCAGAAACCACCACGGCUACUUCAAAACAAUAUUUAAUUUUCCUGCUUGUUCUUGAGAAGCGCUGGUUUCAAAAAUUGGAUGGGGUGAUACAUGCUUGAAUUAGUAUUUACAAGGCUCCUAAUCACUUCAUCAGACAGAUAAUUCAUUGAGCACCAGCUGGGUGCCAGGCAGUGUCUGAGGCACUUCUAGCCAUUAUUUCCCAAGGGUUCCAGCAGCCCAUGGAUACACUUCAAAGGGUGUAAGCUCCUAAAAAUUGUUCGUAAUUAUUUUCUGCACGUUUUUGUAGUUUGGGGGAAGAGAGUUUACGGAGUUCUUGCAAGUCUCAGAAUUAUUUGAUCCCUUUGGGAAUGAGCAUCUCUAGUCUCUGCCUGUCCAUCUGGGACGCUCUGGGACACUCUGCACCUCAGUGUGGGCCGGCUGCUUCAGGUCAGUAGGUAUCAGAAUGACCUCGGUUGGAUGGGGCGGUUCAGGACCCCGGCCUCCUUUUAGUCUGGACCCCACUCUCAUUCCUCAUAUUCUCGAUUCUCUCUUUCUACUGAGUUACUAUCUUAGUAAUGACAAUGCCUCCUGUCAUGUAGAGACUUGGUCUGAUAAAAUGCAUUCACAUACAACUGCUCAUUUUGAUUUCUGUAACUGGGGAACACAGAAAGCACAUGUGGGGUGCAUUGAAGGAUGUCUCCAUUACCCCAGAUAACUCCAAAAUCCUUCACCUAGUUACUAGUGCAGGAAAUUCAUUCUAAGGCAGAAAUGGAAAAUGAGUAAGAAACAAUUUGGAUGUGUUCUAAAAGUGGAGAGAGUUGUCAGGCGCUAUAUUAUACAACCUGAAAUAGCAAUGGUGAAGUAGACAGUUCACCUCCACAGGGGGCGGAAACAGGUUGGACCCAGGGCAAUGGAUGUUUUGUAUGAGUGGUUAACCAGUCUGUGGCCAUGAGGUGGAAAGCUGUGUACACCUGUGAAGCCAUCAUCACAAUCAAGUUAGGGAACAUAUCCAUCACCCAAAAAAGUGUUCUCAUUCCCUUUGGUAAUUCCUCCCUCCUAAACGUCCCCACCGUACCCCACAUCCCAGUCCCCAUGCAAAACCGCUGACCAGCUUUCUAUCACGAUAGAUUUGUUUGCAUUUUCUAGACUUUUAUAUAAAAAGAAUUAUACUUUAUGCACACUUUUUUGUCUUUUUUUUCACUUAACAUAUUUUCAGAAUCAUCUAUCUUGUUGCAGGUGUAUUCUUUUUAUUGCUCAGUAGUAUUCCACUGUGUGGAUAUAACACAAUUUGUUUAUCAUUCACCUGUUGAGGGACAUUUUACUUGCUGCUAAAUUUUUACUAUUACAAAUAAAGCUGCCAUAGGCAUUCA